GGUCCGGUGGCGGAUGGUCCGCCUCUGCACUGAAUCUGCAGAAAGAUACAGAUUUGCGCGCAGAAGUCGCUCGUUCGAUUCGAGCCCGGGCCA